ACCACUCAUUUAUGGCUUUGUAUGACUUUAAUAGGACUGUUUAAACCUUACUUUUUACAUCACCAUGACAAGCUUAGACCACUGCUGAACAGAUUCCUGAUAACAGUGAGUGAAUAGGAACAGUCUUCUUGGAGCAGGAAACUCUACUCUCUUACAAUGAGAAUUAGGUUUCUGGCUUUUCUGUCCAAGCCUAAAUGAGUACUGCUUAGUUAAAGUAGAAGUUUUUAUUACUAGUCACCUUAUUUGCUCACGCUGCUGCCCCUCUCUCGCCCUCAUGGAAGGAAUUCAUUCCACCUGCUGCUGAGAUGCAUAAGGGUCCAGGGCCGUCCCGAAACCCUUCCCUGCAGACCUGAAAGGACACUGUUGCAAGGUUGCUAAUGUUGGCCUCAGUCAGAAGUGACUUCGGAAUGAGAGGGUGGGAGAAGCAGAGGAAACAAAGCAGAAGUGAACAGUGAGUGACUUCUGAAAAGUACGUGUUCCCUUAAGAACACCAUGCAGCCCUGUACUUCUCCGACAUCCACACCUGUACCUUCUCGAAGGCUGCUUUCAUCAAUAAGUUGGUGUUAAUGAAGUCAGAGAAAUGGAAUUAUGAAACCCAGCAGAGAACAAGCCUCUGUGCCACCAUGUGUGAUAAGCUGGCUGACACGAAUGACCCCACGUGACAGCUGCUGGCAAAUGAGGACUCCUCCUGGUCUUCUGAAAGCUCAAAGUAGAGACAUCGUAACCCUUAUAACGAAGUUCUAUGCCUCCAUGUUUUAGCAUUCAUUUUCAAAAGAGCAACUAUAAAAUAAGCAACUAUAUUCUUCUAGUUAACUCCAACAGUGACACACCACAGUCUGAAACAGCAAGCCGUAUAUUUGUGGUACCUUACUCCACCAUCAACAUGAAUAAAUAAGGGAAAAAUAUAGAUGGGGGCAUGAAGCUGCCAUCCCUCCUCCAGAGUGAAUUAUGUCUGAGGCCAAGAACAAAACCAAACUCUUCACAAGCAAAUGUUAUUAGAUCACAUGCUCUGCAUGCAUACUGAAACAUCUUUCCCAAAUUUACUCAAGUAAUCGGCUGAAGAAAUUGGCUCACCAAAGAACUUAAUGCCAUACCCAAUGUCGCAAUCUGAAGUUUGGACUCUGGCCUUUGGAUUUAAAAUCUUGUUAUUUUUUCACCAACAUACAACUCCCACAAACCAGUUCUUUCAGUGCCAGGAUAAGUUCAGAACUUGUUGCUUUUC